AACGAACGCUGGCGGCAUGCCUAACACAUGCAAGUCGAACGAGACCUUCGGGUCUAGUGGCGCACGGGUGCGUAACGCGUGGGAACCUGCCCUUAGGUUCGGAAUAACUCCCCGAAAGGGGUGCUAAUACCGGAUAAUGUCUUCGGACCAAAGAUUUAUCGCCUUUGGAUGGGCCCGCGUUGGAUUAGCUAGUUGGUAGGGUAAAAGCCUACCAAGGCGACGAUCCAUAGCUGGUCUGAGAGGAUGAUCAGCCACACUGGGACUGAGACACGGCCCAGACUCCUACGGGAGGCAGCAGUGGGGAAUAUUGGACAAGGGGCGAAAGCCUGAUCCAGCAAUGCCGCGUGAGUGAUGAAGGCCUUAGGGUUGUAAAGCUCUUUUACCCGGGAUGAUAAUGACAGUACCGGGAGAAUAAGCGCCGGCUAACUACGUG
rnacentral:rRNA from 1 species